rnacentral:rRNA from 2 species
CACCCAAGACAACUUUACGGAGUUGACGAUUGACGGAGCGAAGCGACGUCAAAGCGUUCAUUAAAGUCGAGUUGGCUUAGGGAUACGUUCGUUGGGUAGGGGAGCGUUCUGUAAGCCUGUGAAGGUGGCCUGUGAGGGUUGCUGGAGGUAUCAGAAGUGCGAAUGCUGACAUAAGUAACGAUAAAGCGGGUGAAAAGCCCGCUCGCCGGAAGACCAAGGGUUCCUGUCCAACGUUAAUCGGGGCA